GUCAGACUUCUUGCAAGACAUAAGGAGCUGCAGCGUGAAGUAAAGGUAUGGCACUGUAGGUCGACCGCCUCAACGACACCUUCGAGCACCAAAUGCGCUACCUAAAGAUGCAGGUAGUGGCUACCGUGCGUCGUCAAGGACUACCGAGUUCGUGACCACGGCGCGACUCCCUGAAACAGGGGCGAACUGACAUUUCAAGCAGCCUACUCAAGUAGACAUUUUUCUUGGAUGUAUUUUUUCUUGAAGUUGUUUUUGUUGCUACUUUACCAUAUGUGCAAUCAGAUGUUAAUAAGUUUGGUUACCGCCAAUUGCCCCA